rnacentral:rRNA from 1 species
AGGGAAUCUUCCGCAAUGGACGAAAGUCUGACGGAGCAACGCCGCGUGAGUGAUGAAGGUUUUCGGAUCGUAAAGCUCUGUUGCCAGGGAAGAACGUCCGUUAGAGUAACUGCUAACGGAGUGACGGUACCUGAGAAGAAAGCCCCGGCUAACUACGUGCCAGCAGCCGCGGUAAUACGUAGGGGGCGAGCGUUGUCCGGAAUUAUUGGGCGUAAAGCGCGCGCAGGCGGCUGUUAAGGCUGGUGUUUAAUCCUGGGGCUCAACUCCGGGUCGCACUGGAAACUGGACGGCUUGAGUGCAGAAGAGGAGAGUGGAAUUCCACGUGUAGCGGUGAAAUGCGUAGAGAUGUGGAGGAACACCAGUGGCGAAGGCGACUCUCUGGGCUGUAACUGACGCUGAGGCGCGAAAGCGUGGGGAGCAAAC